rnacentral:misc_RNA from 1 species
GAUGAAGAACGCAGCGAAAUGCGAUAAGUAAUGUGAAUUGCAGAAUUCAGUGAAUCAUCGAAUCUUUGAACGCACAUUGCGCCCGCCAGUAUUCUGGCGGGUAUGCCUGUCUGAGCGUCAUUUCAACCCUCAUGCCCCUAGGGCGUGGUGUUGGGGAUCGGCCAAAGCCCGCGAGGGACGGCCGGCCCCUAAAUCUAGUGGCGGACCCGUCGUGGCCUCCUCUGCGAAGUAGUGAUAUUCCGCAUCGGAGAGCGAUGAGCCCCUGCCGUUAAACCCCCAACUUUCCAAGGUUGACCUCAGAUCAGGUAGGAAUACCCGCUGAACUUAAGCAUAUCAAUAAGCGGAGGA